GAUGAACGCUGGCGGCAUGCCUAACACAUGCAAGUCGAACGAACACACGAGGAGCUCUCGCCCCUGACGGUGGCGGCUGGCGGGUGGGUAACACGUGGAUCGCCUACCUCUAAGACUUGGGUAAUAACGUGGAACAAGAUCUACUACCGCAGCAUAUAUCGAACCGCUUGGAGCAAUAGUGCAAGGCGCUUUUCCUGUCUCUUAUAGCUGAAUUCGCGUUGCAUUAGCUAGUUGGUAAGGUAACGGCAUACCAAGGAUACGAUGCGUAGCCGACCUGAGAGGGUGAUCGGCCACACUGGAACUGAGACACGGUCCAGACUCCUACGGGAGGCAGCAGUGGGGAAUCUUCCACAAUGGGCGAAAGCCUGAUCGAGCAAUACCGCGUGAGUGAUGAAGGUCUUCGGGUGGUAAAGCUCUGUUGUUGGGAAAGAAAAAAAGUGUAUGUAACCCCGCCGGUUUUGACGGUACCUAAAGAAUAAGCACCGGCUAACUACGUG
rnacentral:rRNA from 1 species